rnacentral:rRNA from 1 species
UACGUAGGGGGCUAGCGUUGUCCGGAAUCAUUGGGCGUAAAGAGCGCGUAGGCGGCCCGGUAAGUCCGCUGUGAAAGUCAAAGGCUCAACCUUUGAAUGUCAGCGGAUACUGCCGGGCUAGAGUCCGGAAGAGGCGAGUGGAACUCCUGGUGUAGCGGUGGAAUGCGCAGAUAUCAGGAAGAACACCAACGGCGAAGGCAGCUCGCUGGGACGGAACUGACGCUGAGGCGCGAAAGCGUGGGGAGCGAUCCGG